rnacentral:rRNA from 1 species
AUUGAACGCUGGCGGAAUGCUUUACACAUGCAAGUCGAACGGUAGAGGGGGCAACCCCUCGAGAGUGGCGAACGGGUGAGUAAUAUAUCGGAACGUGCCCAGUCGUGGGGGAUAACGUAGCGAAAGUUACGCUAAUACCGCAUACGAUCUAAGGAUGAAAGCGGGGGACCGAAAGGCCUCGCGCGAUUGGAGCGGCCGAUGUCAGAUUAGGUAGUUGGUGGGGUAAGGGCCCACCAAGCCAACGAUCUGUAGCUGGUCUGAGAGGACGACCAGCCACACUGGGACUGAGACACGGCCCAGACUCCUACGGGAGGCAGCAGUGGGGAAUUUUGGACAAUGGGCGCAAGCCUGAUCCAGCAAUGCCGCGUGCAGGAAGAAGGCCUUCGGGUUGUAAACUGCUUUUGUACGGAACGAAACGGUCCGGGCUAAUACCCUGGGCUAAUGACGGUACCGUAAGAAUAAGCACCGGCUAACUACGUGCCAGCCGCCGCAGUAA